ACUAGCUCGCAGGGUUCGGCCAGCUCUGAGAGCGACUUUGGGUUUCCAGGUCGUCAGAUCGGCUAAAAUUUGACAUGGGAGCGGGUGCUGGAGCAGCCAACUUAGACCACAAGAUGGACGUCAAACUUGAAGGACAUCAGAACAGCAACAUGGACAUUGUUCUAAUGUCUCUGACACCAUGGGAGUCCCUACCAGCCUGGACUGCUUCCCCUCUACUGAUGCAGGAGAGCUCAAAGGUAAUGAAAGGCAUUGGCCACACAGAAUCGGUUAAUCAGAAACGAGGUGAAGACAACGCAUAGCAUCCCACCGGACAGCGAAUAAUCUUUCCAGUUCUGUUUUGCUUUUGCCAUUUAAAAGUCUUUUACAGUUUUUCCUGAUAUGAGUCAGACCGAUGUUAGGUACCGAUAACACAGACGCAAACCAGGAACCAGCAUUACAUUCUAAGAGUGGGUCGAGGGCUAGGGAAUGGACAAUUUUUGGAAGCAAAAUUGAGUCUUUGAUAUUUUUGUCUAAUAGUUACAUUAUAAAAGCAUUUUGUACCUUGAGAAAAACCAGGCCAACUCUGUCUUGUUCUAAAUCCCCAAAUAAAUGGAACUCUGAGUCUUUCCUAUA